rnacentral:rRNA from 1 species
GAGGGGCAGCAUGGUCUUAGCUUGCUAAGACUGAUGGCGACCGGCGCACGGGUGCGUAACGCGUAUGCAACUUGCCUCACAGAGGGGGAUAACCCGUCGAAAGACGGACUAAUACCGCGUACACUUGGAUCGGGGCAUCCCGGACCAAGGAAAAGAAUUUCGCUGUGAGAUAGGCAUGCGUCCCAUUAGCUAGUUGGUGAGGUAACGGCUCACCAAGGCAACGAUGGGUAGGGGAACUGAGAGGUUGAACCCCCACACUGGUACUGAGACACGGACCAGACUCCUACGGGAGGCAGCAGUGAGGAAUAUUGGUCAAUGGACGAGAGUCUGAACCAGCCAAGUCGCGUGAAGGAUGACUGUCUUAUGGAUUGUAAACUUCUUUUGUAGGGGAAUAACGGUCGGCACGUGUGCCGGAUUGAAUGUACCCUACGAAUAAGCAUCGGCUAACUCCGUGCCAGCAGCCGCGGUAAUACGGAGGAUGCGAGCGUUAUCCGGAUUUAUUGGGUUUAAAGGGUGCGUAGGCGGCCUGUUAAGUCAGCGGUGAAAUCUAGGAGCUUAACUCCUAAAUUGCCAUUGAAACUGGCGGGCUUGAGUGUAGAUGAGGUAGGCGGAAUGCGUGGUGUAGCGGUGGAAUGCAUAGAUAUCACGCAGAACUCCGAUUGCGAAGGCAGCUUACUAAGGUACAACUGACGCUGAAGCACGAAAGCGUGGGUAUCAAACAGGAUUAGAUACCCUGGUAGUCCACGCAGUAAACGAUGAUAACUGGGCGUAUGCGAUAUACUGUAUGCUCCUAAGCGAAAGCGUUAAGUUAUCCACCUGGGGAGUACGCCGGCAACGGUGAAACUCAAAGGAAUUGACGGGGGCCCGCACAAGCGGAGGAACAUGUGGUUUAAUUCGAUGA